UACGGAGGGUGCAAGCGUUGUUCGGAAUCAUUGGGCGUAAAGCGUAGGUAGGCGGCCAGGCAAGUCUGAUGUGAAAGCCCAGAGCUCAACUCUGGAGGCGCAUUGGAAACUGUUUGGCUUGAGUCCGGGAAGGGCCAGUGGAAUUCGUGGUGUAGGGGUGAAAUCCGUAGAUAUCACGAAGAACACCGGCGGCGAAAGCGACUGGCUGGACCGGAACUGACGCUCAGCUACGAAAGUGUAGGUAGCGAACAGG
rnacentral:misc_RNA from 1 species